rnacentral:rRNA from 1 species
AUGUCGGAACCCACCCGCCUCCUCGUCACCAAGGACAAGGACGGCAAGGAGUCGUCUGAGCUCAACCCUCUCCAUCCCAUCUGGGUGAAGGAGGAUCAACAAGUGCUCGGCUACCUCCUCAACAACCUCUCCAAGGAAGUGUUGAUCACGGUGACCACGGUCACCACCGCGCAUGCCCUCUGGGUGGCGCUUGCAGGCAUGUUUUCUUCUCAAUCUUUGAGCCGUGUAAACAAUAUUCGCACUGCCUUGAUCAAUGCACAGAAGGGCACCCAAUCGGUUGCUGCAUAUUACGCUCAUAUGCGUGGCUUUGCGAUGAACUCGCCGCGGCCGGCAAGCCCAUCCAGGACGAUGAGCUCAUCUCCUACCUGCUGCAUGGGCUGGAUAUGGACUACCAGCCUCUCGUCUCCGCCCUCGACGCCCGUGUCACGCCGGUCUCCAUCGACGAGUUGUACUCCAUGCUGA